AUUGAACGCUGGCGGCAGGCCUAACACAUGCAAGUCGAGCGAGCGGCGGACGGGUGAGUAAUGUAUGGGGACUGCCCGAUAGAGGGGGAUAACUACUGGAAACGGUGGCUAAUACCGCAUACUAUCGGAUAACCCAUAUGGGAUUAGCUAGUAGGUGGGGUAAAGGCUCAACUAGGCGACGAUCUCUAGCUGGUAAGAGAGGAUGAUCAGCCACACUUGGACUGAAACACGGCCCAGACUCCUACGGAAGCAGCAGUAGGGAAUAUUGCACAAUGGGCGCAAGCCUGAUGCAGCCAUGCCGCUUGUAUGAAGAAGGCCUUAAGGUUGUAAAAUACUUUCAGCGGGGAGGCGUUACCCUCAGAAGAAACACCGGCUAACUCCGUGCCAGCAGCCGCGAUAAUUA
rnacentral:rRNA from 1 species